AAGAAAGCAGGAAAGGGCGCAUGGCGGAUGCCUUGGCUCACGGAGGCGAUGAAGGACGUGAUAAGCUGCGAUAAGCCCCGGGUAGGUGCAAAUGACCUUUGAUCCGUGGAUUUCCGAAUGGGACAACCCGGCAGGCUGGAGGCCUGUCAUCACUACGGAUGUAGUGAGGCGAACGGAGGGAACUGAAACAUCUUAGUACCUCCAGGAAGAGAAAAUAAACUAAUGAUUCCCCCAGUAGCGGCGAGCGGACGGGGAAGAGCCCAAACCGGCGGCGUAGCGAUGCGCCUCCGGGGUUGUAGGACCACGCAGUCGUACUUGGAUUGUGAGAAGAAUGUUCUGGAAAGAACAAUCAUAGAGGGUGAUGAUCCCGUAUUCGAAGCAUGACGAGACGUAGUGGUAUCCUGAGUAACGCGGAACACGUGAAAUUCUGCGCGAAUCCGCCGGGACCAUCCGGCAAGGCUAAAUACUCCCGUGAGACCGAUAGUGUACGAGUACCGUGAGGGAAAGGUGAAAAGCACUCCGACGAGGAGAGUGAAAGAGUUCCUGAAACCAUGCGCCUACAAGCGGUCGGAGCCGCGCGAGCGGUGACGGCGUGCCUUUUGCAUAAUGAACCUACGAGUUGCCAUGUCUGGCAAGGAUAAGCGUCAUGAGCCGCGUAUCCGCAGUGAAAGCGAGCCUGAACAGGGCGUCGAGUCAGACGGGGCAGACGCGAAACCAAGUGAUCUACACUUGCCCAGGCUGAAGUCCGGGUAACACCGGAUGGAGGGCCGCACGGAUAAGCGUUGAAAAGCUUCCCGAUGAGGCGAGUGUAGGAGUGAAAGGCCAAUCAAACUUGGAGAUAGCUCGUACUCCCCGAAAGGCAUUUAGGUGCCGCGUGCGGCGUUGUCCGUGAGAGGUAGAGCGACCGGUAGGUCGAGAGGGCUUCACCGCCUGUCGAGACCUGACGAACUCCGAAUGCUCUCGGAUCGCAGCCGUGCAGUAAGGGGGCGGGUGCUAAGGUCCGUCCCCGAGAGGAGAAGAAUCCAGACCGCCGUCUAAGGUCCCGGAAUUCUGCCUGAGUUAGUCUAACGAAGUCCGGUCCCCGUGACAGCUAGGAUGUUGGCUUGGAAGCAGCCAUUCAUUCAAAGAGUGCGUAACAGCUCACUAGUCGAGGGUCCGGGCGUGGAUAAUAAUCGGGUAUAAGGCAGAUACCGAAGGCGCGGGAUAGCAAUGUAUAUUGAAAGUAUCGGUAGGGGAGCAUUCCAUCGGCGUCGAAUGGUGAGGGAAACUGAUCCUGGAGCUUAUGGAAAAGCAAAUGUAGGUAUGAGUAACGAUAAAAAGGGUGGGAUUCCCUUUCGCCGAAAGACCGAGGUUUCCCGGGCGAUGCCAAUCAGCCCGGGGUCAGUCGGGUCCUAAGUCUCAGCCGAACGGCGAAGGCGAUGGCAGAUGCGGUCAACAUUCCGCAACUCGCAUUAUCAGUGACGUGGAGAC
rnacentral:rRNA from 1 species